GGAACUGUGCCCGAAAGUUAAGGA
rnacentral:tRNA from 1 species